UCCAAAUUCAAGCGUGCACGAUACAAUAAGAGCCCACAAACCAAAUGUCAACCAACCACCGCUUCUCAUGGCAGCAAAAAAACUUCAGGCCUCAUGCAAACAACUGCUGCACGAACCUCUGAAUCCCCCUCAGAUUCCACCGUCACGCUGCGAGAGGUCAGCGGACCAGCAGCUGUGUUUGUGAUGAGCUCCAGGUCUCAGCAACGAGCAACAACAACAACAACACGCAACGGCUACUAAUCACCGUCACAGGAGAAGAAAUGUGGCUUCUCUGUGAUGGCGAGGGAAGAGAAACCUCUGGGAUUCAAUUACAGACCGCGUACCCUCAGGAUGACUGCGCGUGUCAGCUGUUCUCUUUGGAUCGCUGAAUGUGCAGGAUACGAAGAGGGAAACGUGACUAAUGUGAGCACAAGCUCUCAGGAAGUUUCAUCCUUUUCCUCCUUCUUCUUCUUCACGCCGCUGCAGAACGGAGCAUUUCCUCUCUGAUCCUGUGCGAGCGGCUGGCGUCACGGCUCUGAUUUAUAGCAUCUGGUCGCAGAGAUCGCUGACGUGGAGUGUGUGUGUGUGUGGGGGGGGGAAGAGGCGCACUGGUCUCCUCCUCCUCCUCCUCCCUUCUUCUUCUUCAAGGAUCCACUCAGACCACAACAACCCGCCUCAAGCUUCGACUCCCCAUCCAGUUUUUUUGCAGAGUCAUUCCAGCCGAUCCCCGUCCACACCCAGCAAUCCCAGCGAAGGCGUUCUGCUCUCCGACCCCACCAUGUGCGAGCAUUCGGCCCCCCCCAGGCCGCAUUCGAGACUCAGCUGGCAGAGCUGUGAGAACUUGAGCCCCGUCUGACUGAAGCAGCUGAGAGCAGCUCAGUCUUUUAGCUUUCAGAAGCGAACAGAAACAGUAUUCAAAACUACUCAACAACUCAGAAAAAGCUCCUUACUGUUGUUCCCCCUCCGAAGCUUCCCAUCGUCACGCCACACAUAUGCGUUUUUGAUGAUAUAGGCAACAUUUACCUCUCAAAUUCAGUUGAAAUUAUCUUAAAAUAAUAGCUCCUUCAAUUCAGAAAGAGGUAGAGAAAAGAGGGGAUCUGAUUUCUGGAGGUCCAGAUCAAUGACUUUGUUGCGCAAAAAGAAAAGACAACUGUUGCUAGCCAAUCACGCUAUAUAAGCUGUGCAGUAGUUAGCUAGCUAAUUAAGCUAACUACCUAACCACGUUCUCUGGCUGACUUAAAUGUUUCCAGCUGACUUGUUUUGACCAGAUAAUGGUGUAAAAUUGUUUUAAAAAGCAAUUGAAGGACUGAACAUGAACAGUAUCAUGCUAAUGUAAAGCUGCUUGGGUGUGUUUGGCUGCGUCACUUAGGCUAAUUCGGCUACAACGACACACAAAAGGUAAAACAUACUCAAUUGUUUGUAUUUGCAAUAAAUGUGCAGGUACAAUAGAAAGCGCUAAAUUAUGUUAUUGACUGAAAAGUGUGAUUAGCAAACAUAAACCUCUAACAUUGGCUGGGGCCAAUGUCCUCAAAUCCAACAAAAAGAAAGACUGAGCUGCUAAAGUUAGCUUAAACUCUGACACAGCUUGUAGCCUAGCAUCCAGGAAAGGCUUCCACAAAUGAUACACUCCUCUCAGUGGAUUUGCUUUUUAUUUAGCUAUCCUAACCCAACAAAAUAAGGCAGUAUAAAAUGUUUCACUCAUGGAUGUAACAUCUGAAGUCUGGUUACAGCUUUGGAAACAGUAUGAAAAUUCAAAUUGUUAAAGUAAAACAAGUCAUUUUGCAGGGGUUGUAACAUGCUCUUCCUGGGGCCUUGGACUCAUGUCUGGAUUUGGUAGCUAGUAAGCUAGUUAGCAAGACACGCUAACGCCUGUAGCUUUUAUUACAGCAGACUGUUGAAUUCAUUGUGAGGAAUUUUUGCCUUAGUGUUUGUGGUUUUUGGAAAGGCUGAUAAAGAAACAGCUCAUCAACAUUUUAUUCAUUGAGAGUAACUCUCUGUAGGACAGAUUUACGGAGUUUAAGGGUGGAGGAAGACUUCUGAUAGUGACAAAUCAAAAGCCGGUUUGAAUAAGUUUUCUAGGCCAGAACUCCCGUUUCCAGCCUUGGCUGUGAAGUUGAAUGUUUGCCAAGAACAUAACGUCAGCGUGACUGGGAAGCUCGCCGGCACGAAAGGGAGUCCACGUCUCAUGAUCACUUCCACAGAGGAGCGUUUAACUCCGCAAUCGGACUUGAACGGAGAAGAGCUGUGUACAAUUUAAAACCCCUUUACAAACC